rnacentral:snRNA from 1 species
GUACUCGCUUCAGCAGCACAUCUAUUAAAAUUGGAAGGAUACAGAGAAGAUUAGCAUGGCCUCUGUGCAAGGAUGACAUGCAAAUUUGUGAAGUGUUCUAUAUUUAA